AAUGAAAAAUAAAGUCAAUUUUGAAACGAUUUCUCUCCGAAUGGAAAAUUGCUGAUGGAAGCCAAAACAUUUAGCAGCAGAUCAGUCUGCUGCGCUAAGCUAAACUGUACACCUCUUGGCCGCAGCGUCAUCUUCAAUAGACACAUAUGAGUGGGAGUCUCUGUGACUUGCCCUGAGGGGGGAGGAAAGGGAGUCAUGAGAAACGGAGCCUGGUGAGAUGUGCCAGUGGCUGGCUGGGUCCAAACGCCGAGCUCCAGAACUAGGUGGAUUAUGAUGGACAGCUGCUCCCUAUGGACUUAAAGGCCAACAGACAAGGAUACCUGCCGACUGGACUGAACUUCGACUCUGUCCUCCCCGAAAUGUCCGUUUCAUAUCUUUGUCAUCUUUUCACUU